rnacentral:rRNA from 1 species
GAGAUUCCUCGAGUAACGGCGAGUGAAAGGGGAGAAGCUCAGCGUGUAGCCUCGGGGAUGCCCUCCAAGUGAGUGUGUUAAUCCUUCGAUGGGAUGCCACGUAUGGGAGAAUGCUUGAAGAGUACACGACCCGGCAAUCCGAACUGUUUGAUGAAACAUUGCCCAGAGAGGGUGUUAGGCCCGUAGGACCGGUUUUGUCGUUACUUUUCGCGGUAUUCUCUCGAGAGUCGGGUUGUUUGAGAAUACAGCCUGAAGAGGUGGGAAACUCCAUCUAAAGCUAAAUAUGACUGCGAGACCGAUAGAGAACAAGUACCGUGAGGGAAAGUUGAAAAGGACUCUGAAGAGAGGGUUCAAGAGAGCGUGAAACUGCCACGGGGAUAAAGCGGAUACAUUAGCGUAGUCGAAAAGGGAGAUACAGCUCGUUGGCCGUCGACCUCUACGGAUUCUCGACCGAUAGGAAUUAUCCCGACGUUCGGAGCGUUCGCGCGUUUCCGAAUUCGGUUCUUGGUUCCUUACGGCGCGUUCCUAGUAAGCGUACGUUCACCAACGAGUCUAAUUCACACCUCAGUAGGCCGCCGCGACGGUCGGAAAGUUGUCUAAGGCUUUAUGAAAGGUCGCGGGAACCUUUCGUUUGCGACGAUCGGAGAUUUAUUUUCGGUCGUUCGUCGACGAAGGGGGACGCUUUCUCGAAUUUACUGGCGGACAUUUCGACCGGAGAAAUAGACGUUACUCGUUCACUUUGUGUGCGUAGUAGCGUGAGUGCGGCGCUCGUAGCGACCAAUUUAUCCGUCCCGUCUUGAAACACGGACCAAGGAGUCUAACAUGUACGCGAGUCAAAGGGCUUACUAAACCCUCAGGCGUAAUGAAAGUAAAUGUGGAUUGAUCCGCGCUCUCUUUAUUGAGACCGGCGCAAAUCCGGGACCCGUCUUACUGCUUUUCCUUUCGGGGAGAAGUUCACGUGGCGGGUACCUCGAGCGUACAUGUUGGUACCCGAAAGAUGGUGAUCUAUGCUUGGCCGGGAUGAAGCCAGAGGAAACUCUG